UGGGGAAUAUUGGACAAUGGGGGCAACCCUGAUCCAGCAAUGCCGCGUGUGUGAAGAAGGUCUUCGGAUUGUAAAGCACUUUCGACGGGGACGAUGAUGACGGUACCCGUAGAAGAAGCCCCGGCUAACUUCGUGCCAGCAGCCGCGGUAAUACGAAGGGGGCUAGCGUUGCUCGGAAUGACUGGGCGUAAAGGGCGUGUAGGCGGUUUACACAGUCAGAUGUGAAAUCCCCGGGCUUAACCUGGGAGCUGCAUUUGAUACGUGUAGACUAGAGUGUGAGAGAGGGUUGUGGAAUUCCCAGUGUAGAGGUGAAAUUCGUAGAUAUUGGGAAGAACACCGGUGGCGAAGGCGGCAACCUGGCUCAUGACUGACGCUGAGGCGCGAAAGCGUGGGGAGCAAACAGGAUUAGUACCCUGGUAGUCCACGCUGUAAACGAUGUGUGCUAGAUGUUGGGUAACUUUGUUAUUCAGUGUCGCAGUUAACGCGUUAAGCACACCGCCUGGGGAGUACGGCCGCAAGGUUGAA
rnacentral:rRNA from 1 species